AUUGAACGCUGGCGGCAUGCCUUACACAUGCAAGUCGAACGGCAGCACGGGAGCAAUCCUGGUGGCGAGUGGCGAACGGGUGAGUAAUACAUCGGAACGUACCUGAUAGUGGGGGAUAGCCCGGCGAAAGCCGGAUUAAUACCGCAUCCGCCCUGAGGGUUCAAGCGGGGGAUCGCAAUACCUCGCGCUAUCGGAGCGGCCGAUGGCAGAUUAGGUAGUUGGUGGGGUAAAGGCCUACCAAGCCUACGAUCUGUAGCUGGUUUGAGAGGACGACCAGCCACAAUGGGACUGAGACACGGCCCAGACUCCUACGGGAGGCAGCAGUGGGGAAUUUUGGACAAUGGGCGCAAGCCUGAUCCAGCCAUGCCGCGUGCGGGAAGAAGGCCUUCGGGUUGUAAACCGCUUUUGUCAGGGAAGAAAUACUCUGGGCUAAUACCCUGGGGUGAUGACGGUACCUGAAGAAUAAGCACCGGCUAACUACGUGCCAGCCGCCGCCGUAAGAC
rnacentral:rRNA from 1 species